AAUGAGGAGAGUUUGUUAUAGCCAAAAACUCUGAUAAAUCUCUCUAAUGGCAGUAUAAAUACAAAGCCCUGUGCGCUGCAUAUUCCCGUUCAUCAAUCUUGCAGCUGGAGAGUUCUCGUUUUCGAAAAGAAUAGUUUGGUUUUGAAUCUGUGCGUGGAAUUAAUCUGCAGUUUUUUCACCAUAAAUGACAAUAAGUUUGGCCGUCGGCCUUGAAUCCUGUCCGGCGAGUGGCGUGAUUUUCCGGCCAACGGUGCCGUUCGUGCGUGUGGAUACGACGUCGUCGCCGCCGUCGUUGGAGCCUGGCAGCGUUCCUGAGCUUCUUCUCGAGUCUCUCGUCAAGUUCAAGAAAAGAGGAAGUUUUGAUUCACUCCAAUUGACGAGCUUACGGUGAUCAUGGAGAUUAUUCCACAAAAGGGAACUGCAAGUGUUGUUCAUGUAGGAGAAUCACUUCAUUUAAAUUAUGAAGACAGUGCAAAAGCCAAACUUUGCAUCGACAAUAGGAAGCCGGGUGGUUGGGGUCCAGCAUCUCUUCUGCUCGUGAACCAAGGACUUGCAACAUUAGCGUUUUUCGGCGUUGGGGUGAACUUGGUAUUGUAUUUAACUCGCGUUCUUGGGCAAGACAAUGCAUCUGCUGCUAACAACGUUAGUAAAUGGACUGGGACUGUUUACCUUUUCUCGUUGGUUGGAGCAUUCCUCAGCGAUUCGUAUUGGGGCCGUUACCUUACUUGUUCUCUUUUCCAAGUUAUAUUCGUUUCGGGCCUGCUGCUCUUAUCCUUAUCGUCUUGGUUCAUCUUGCUCAAGCCGACAAACUGUGGAAACGGCGUGAUAACCUGCAUGCCGCCUACUACACUAGGCUCGAUCAUAUUCUACUUGGCUAUAUACAUGGUUGCUUUUGGCUACGGCGGCCACCAGCCCACUCUAGCCACUCUGGGAGCGGAUCAAUUCGACGAAUCAGUCCCCAAACAGAGGAAUUCGAAAUCUGGUUUCUUCAGCCUUUUCUACUUUUCACUCAACGCUGGCUCGUUGUUUUCAAACACCAUAUUGGUUUACUACGAAGAUACCGGGAAAUGGACACUUGGUUUUUGGUUGGCCACCGGCUCUGCUAUUCUAGCCUUGAUUGCAUUCCUGCUCGGCUCCUCUAGCUACCGGUAUGUUAAUGCUUCAGGGAACCCGUUACCGCGCAUUAUGCAAGUGUUCGUCGCAGCAUUCAGGAAAUGGAAUGUAAGACUUACAGAAGGCGAGCCAUUGUACGAGGUUGAGGGGUCCGAAUCCGCCAUUCAAGGAAGCCGUAAAAUCUACCAUAGCGACGAAUUUUUGUUUCUCGACAAGGCAGCAAUUGUGACAGAGCAAGACCUCUGCUCUCCUCCAAAUCCAUGGCGCCUAUGCAGCGUAACCCAAGUCGAGGAAGUCAAAUGCCUCUUCCGAAUGCUCCCGAUAUGGCUGUGCACAAUUAUAUACUCUCUGGUUUUCUCCCAAAUGGCUUCCAUCUUCGUUGAGCAAGGCGAUGUCAUGAAUUCCGAGAUCGGAAAUUUCCAUCUUCCCGCUGCCAGCAUGUCCUCCUUCGACAUCUGCAGCGUCCUCAUCUUCACAGGCAUUUACCGCCAGAUCGUCACCCCUAUAGCCAAAAGGUUCACUGGCAACCCCCGAGGCCUAACCGAGCUCCAACGCAUGGGCAUCGGAAUAAUCAUUUCGAUGCUCGCCAUGGUCGCCGCCGGCGUAACGGAAAUGGAGAGACUCAAGAGAGUAAUUCCGGGAGUCCGCGUCAGCCCGAUGAGCAUAUUCUGGCAAGUCCCUCAGUACGUGCUGGUCGGAGCGUCGGAGGUUUUUAUGUACGUCGGGCAAUUAGAGUUCUUCAACGGCCAAGCUCCCGACGGGAUCAAGAGUUUCGGGAGCUCGCUGUGCAUGGCGUCGAUUUCCCUCGGGAACUUCGUGAGCAGCAUGUUGGUUAAUAUUGUGAUGAGGAUCACGACGGGAGGCAAUCGGCUUGGCUGGAUACCGGAAAACUUGAAUCUCGGCCAUAUGGAUCGAUUCUACUUUCUGAUUGCGGCGCUCACAGCCGUCGAUUUUGUUGUGUAUGUGUUUGCUGCCCGGUGGUAUAAGGCCAUAAACGUUGAAGAAAGUGAGCAUUCGAGUUCGACGAAUGAAGGAGAAAUUUGAGGUUCCGAGGAAUAAUAUUUCUACAGAAGCAAACAUCACAAAGACGACAGUGGCAGUGGCAGUAAGAAAUCAACUCAAGAAAUGGAUCCGUCCUCUACUUCUGCUAGAGAAAACAAAGCAACGCCAUGUGCAUUCCAUUUCAGCCGCACCAGGUGUCGAUUCAGAGGGGCAUGCUACAUUUCGCAUCAUCUUCCCGGCGGCCUUGCGGCUGCCGCUGAAAUACUCGGCUACGACCCUUCCAUUUCGACGCCUCCUCGGAAAUUCAAGACUAAGCUAUGCCACAAAUACGACACACCUGAUGAGUGCCAAUUCGGGGACUCGUGCCAUUUUGCGCACGGCGAACACGAGCUAUGGACGCCAAGACUACGCUCAAAUUACAACACAACCAAUGCCAAUGCCAAUGUCACGACGGAAGCAUCCACGUCGCAAGACCCGGCCUCAAUCACUGCUAAAGUCCCCAUCGACGCUUUCCGGGCUAGGCAAGUCGGCGGAUACAUCCUUACCUUCUCCGAUAAAAUUUACCAUAACCACGGGAUCAAGCUCGAUAUCAUAGAUCACGAAACAGAUCCCAACCAACAAUACAUUCAGAUAACGGGUUCGGUUGAUACUGUUAAUAUGUUUAUCCCUUUUUUCCGCGACGCUACAGCAGCGGACAUUGCAGACAUGAUAGGCACCAGAUCUUCCCGGCUCCGCGUCGGGGCCAGCAACUAAGCUUUGCAGCUACUAUUUGAAUGGUUCUUGCGGCUUCGGAGACAAGUGGAAUUUUGCGCACCGAGAAGAAGAAUUGCGCGGUACCAAUGUAUAG